rnacentral:rRNA from 1 species
CAUGAGUUAUGUCAUGUUAUCGAUAUGUGAAUACAUAGCAUAUCAGAAGGCACACCCGGAGAACUGAAACAUCUUAGUACCCGGAGGAAGAGAAAGAAAAUUCGAUUCCCUUAGUAGCGGCGAGCGAAACGGGAAGAGCCCAAACCAACAAGCUUGCUUGUUGGGGUUGUAGGACACUCUAUACGGAGUUACAAAGGACGACAUUAGACGAAUCAUCUGGAAAGAUGAAUCAAAGAAGGUAAUAAUCCUGUAGUCGAAAAUGUUGUCUCUCUUGAGUGGAUCCUGAGUACGACGGAGCACGUGAAAUUCCGUCGGAAUCUGGGAGGACCAUCUCCUAAGGCUAAAUACUCUCUAGUGACCGAUAGUGAACCAGUACCGUGAGGGAAAGGUGAAAAGCACCCCGGAAGGGGAGUGAAAUAGAACCUGAAACCGUGUGCUUACAAGUAGUCAGAGCCCGUUAAUGGGUGAUGGCGUGCCUUUUGUAGAAUGAACCGGCGAGUUACGAUUUGAUGCAAGGUUAAGCAGUAAAUGUGGAGCCGUAGCGAAAGCGAGUCUGAAUAGGGCGUUUAGUAUUUGGUCGUAGACCCGAAACCAGGUGAUCUACCCUUGGUCAGGUUGAAGUUCAGGUAACACUGAAUGGAGGACCGAACCGACUUACGUUGAAAAGUGAGCGGAUGAACUGAGGGUAGCGGAGAAAUUCCAAUCGAACCUGGAGAUAGCUGGUUCUCUCCGAAAUAGCUUUAGGGCUAGCCUCAAGUGAUGAUUAUUGGAGGUAGAGCACUGUUUGGACGAGGGGCCCCUCUCGGGUUACCGAAUUCAGACAAACUCCGAAUGCCAAUUAAUUUAACUUGGGAGUCAGAACAUGGGUGAUAAGGUCCGUGUUCGAAAGGGAAACAGCCCAGACCACCAGCUAAGGUCCCAAAAUAUAUGUUAAGUGGAAAAGGAUGUGGCGUUGCCCAGACAACUAGGAUGUUGGCUUAGAAGCAGCCAUCAUUUAAAGAGUGCGUAAUAGCUCACUAGUCGAGUGACACUGCGCCGAAAAUGUACCGGGGCUAAACAUAUUACCGAAGCUGUGGAUUGUCCUUUGGACAAUGGUAGGAGAGCGUUCUAAGGGCGUUGAAGCAUGAUCGUAAGGACAUGUGGAGCGCUUAGAAGUGAGAAUGCCGGUGUGAGUAGCGAAAGACGGGUGAGAAUCCCGUCCACCGAUUGACUAAGGUUUCCAGAGGAAGGCUCGUCCGCUCUGGGUUAGUCGGGUCCUAAGCUGAGGCCGACAGGCGUAGGCGAUGGAUAACAGGUUGAUAUUCCUGUACCACCUAUAAUCGUUUUAAUCGAUGGGGGGACGCAGUAGGAUAGGCGAAGCGUGCGAUUGGAUUGCACGUCUAAGCAGUAAGGCUGAGUAUUAGGCAAAUCCGGUACUCGUUAAGGCUGAGCUGUGAUGGGGAGAAGACAUUGUGUCUUCGAGUCGUUGAUUUCACACUGCCGAGAAAAGCCUCUAGAUAGAAAAUAGGUGCCCGUACCGCAAACCGACACAGGUAGUCAAGAUGAGAAUUCUAAGGUGAGCGAGCGAACUCUCGUUAAGGAACUCGGCAAAAUGACCCCGUAACUUCGGGAGAAGGGGUGCUCUUUAGGGUUAACGCCCAGAAGAGCCGCAGUGAAUAGGCCCAAGCGACUGUUUAUCAAAAACACAGGUCUCUGCUAAACCGUAAGGUGAUGUAUAGGGGCUGACGCCUGCCCGGUGCUGGAAGGUUAAGAGGAGUGGUUAGCUUCUGCGAAGCUACGAAUCGAAGCCCCAGUAAACGGCGGCCGUAACUAUAACGGUCCUAAGGUAGCGAAAUUCCUUGUCGGGUAAGUUCCGACCCGCACGAAAGGCGUAACGAUUUGGGCACUGUCUCAACGAGAGACUCGGUGAAAUCAUAGUACCUGUGAAGAUGCAGGUUACCCGCGACAGGACGGAAAGACCCCGUGGAGCUUUACUGUAGCCUGAUAUUGAAAUUCGGCACAGCUUGUACAGGAUAGGUAGGAGCCUUUGAAACGUGAGCGCUAGCUUACGUGGAGGCGCUGGUGGGAUACUACCCUAGCUGUGUUGGCUUUCUAACCCGCACCACUUAUCGUGGUGGGAGACAGUGUCAGGCGGGCAGUUUGACUGGGGCGGUCGCCUCCUAAAAGGUAACGGAGGCGCUCAAA